AGAUAAUGAGCUUGAUAAAGCUUAUAUUUUGAAAAUAUAGGAUAGAGUUUAAAAAAAUUUUAUUAUCUA
rnacentral:tRNA from 1 species